rnacentral:lncRNA from 1 species
GUAUACGAUUGGCACGGGAGACUGCAAACGUUAUGCUCCAAAUCACGGUCGUCGUUCUUCUAGCGGCUGUCGUUUCAGCCAUCUACCUGUCACGCAAAAGGCGGUUUUCGUUGUUUAAAAGGCUUGGAGUACCCGGACCUCCCCCGAGCCUGAUAAAUGGCAACAUUCCAGAAAUAAAAGCUAAGGGAUCAAUAGUUGCCUUUAGCAGCUGGACAAAGCAGUACGGCGAUAUAGUUGGGU